rnacentral:lncRNA from 1 species
GUUUAGCAGGAAUUCAAUAAACAAUGGACUUGGUUCUGCUGAAUCAGGUCUGGUCUGUUAGUUUGUGUUCCUAGCUUUGUUUUGUUAUCUUUCAUUUUGAUCUGGGCUGUGAUCCCUUCAUAACAUUUGUAGGAUUUUGUCUUAGCUUUCUAAUGACUCUGAUUUCAUUUAAUUUGGAGACCCAUAACUCAAGUUAUGUUUUAAAAACACAGCAAAG